GAACAACUAUGGCUCCAGGAGGUAGAUGGCAAGUCCUAUCAAGAAGGCCAGAGGGGACAUCAAAAUCUGUUUCUUCUUUCCAAGAAGCUUACAAAUUCCUUGAAAACGGAAUCUGGUUCUUUGAAAGGGUCUUUCAAUACGGUUGUGAUGCUAUUUGAACACCUACCCAGAAUUCAACAGAAAGGGAUAAAAAAGCAGAAGGAAUCAGACCGCAACUUAAAAAAAUGUUAAAACGUAUGUUUAUGAAGGUCUCCAGAUGAUACUUUUUCUGCCGAGGGAAUAUAGAAACAAAAACCAGAAGAGAAACAUUCAGAGCCUUUUGCAAGUGGGAGUCUCUAGGCUGGAAUCUCAUCUCCAAAUUGACCAGCCACACAAAGGAAGGAUCUCAACUUCUGCACAAGACGCAUUGCAUAUCCUGAUUGGUGAAGCAGAUUCCUUGAAAAUAACCCAUCUUAUUCGUACAGUUUGGGAACUAACUAAUUUGAUUUACAAAUACAGUAAUCACAAUGCAAACUCUGUUCAGGAAGAAUCAUGUGUAAACGAUUAGACACUAUUGGGG
rnacentral:lncRNA from 1 species